UCUGAGUUCAUAUUCCGCCGAAGUCAACUUUGCCUUUCAUCCUUCCGGGGUCGAUAAAUUAAGUAUCAGUUGCAUACUGGGGUCGAUCUAAUCGACUGGCCCCCUCCCCCAAAAUUUCGGGCCUUGUGCCUAGAAU